AACGCUGGCGGCGUGCUUAACACAUGCAAGUCGAACGAGAACGGAUUAUAGCUUGCUAUAAUUGUCAGCUAAGUGGCGCACGGGUGAGUAAUGUAUAGAUAACCUGCCCUCUAGAAAGGAAUAACAGUUGGAAACGACUGCUAAUGCCCUAUAUGCCUUUAAUACAUAAGUAUGCAAGGGAAACGCUUUAGUGCUAGAGGAUGGGUCUGUAUGGUAUCAGUUAGUUGGUGAGGUAAUGGCUCACCAAGACUAUGACGCCUAACUGGUUUGAGAGGAUGAUCAGUCACACUGGAACUGAGACACGGUCCAGACUCCUACGGGAGGCAGCAGUGGGGAAUAUUGCACAAUGGACGAAAGUCUGAUGCAGCAACGCCGCGUGGAGGAUGACACAUUUCGGUGCGUAAACUCCUUUUAUAUAGGAAGAUAAUGACGGUACUAUAUGAAUAAGCACCGGCUAACUCCGUG
rnacentral:rRNA from 1 species